ensembl:lncRNA
CACCAAGCAACACAUGGAGAGAUGGCAGCUGAGAGCACAGUGAGGUCUGGAUGAGGACAGCUACCUUCCUCUGCAGACCCCUUCCCAUCACCUGAACAAACAAAAGAAAAGACAGAGUGGAUAAACAAACAAAAGAAAAGACCACUCUUCCCAGCCUUGUUGGCAAGUUGAAAUAACCAUGUGACUAAGUUCUGUCCAACAGGAUAAUAACAGAUUUGAUACGCUCUGGAAAUCCUGUUCUUAAAAUGAAGAGGUGCCCCCUCUUCUCUUUUGCCCUUUGUAAUGAUUAGAAUAUGAACUUGUUGUGAGUGCACUUGGCCUCAGGUUUGGGGAGAAAUAAGAUAGGAGGUAGCUGGAUCUCUGAAGCCACAGAGCCUGCCUGCAGCUCUAGACUUAUACCCAGAUAGUUCAGAAAGAAAGAAACUUCUAUCUUAUUUAAGCCACUAUUAUGUUGCAUCUCUGUUGAGCACCUGAACCAUAUCCUAAGUAACUGAGUAUGUUUAUCUGGUUGUCAG